rnacentral:rRNA from 1 species
UACGGGGGGGGGCAAGCGUUGUUCGGAAUUACUGGGCGUAAAGGGCUCGUAGGCGGCCAACUAAGUCGGACGUGAAAUCCCCAGGCUCAACCGGUGGAACUGCGUCCGAUACUGGACGGCUUGAAUCCGGGAGAGGGAUGCGGAAUUCCAGGUGUAGCGGUGAAAUGCGUAGAUAUCAGGAGGAACACCGGUGGCGAAGGCGGUUCUCUGGGCAUGAUCUGACGCUGAGGAGCGAAAGUGUGGGGAGCGAACAGG